UCAGGUGACUACAGCACCGGGGUUCCACCUCUUCCCAUUCCGAACAGAGAAGUUAAGCCCGGUCACGCCGAUGGUACUGCGUAA
rnacentral:rRNA from 1 species